rnacentral:rRNA from 1 species
GAUGAACGCUGGCGGCGUGCCUAAUACAUGCAAGUCGAGCGAACAGACGAGGAGCUUGCUCCUCUGACGUUAGCGGCGGACGGGUGAGUAACACGUGGAUAACCUACCUAUAAGACUGGGAUAACUUCGGGAAACCGGAGCUAAUACCGGAUAAUAUAUUGAACCGCAUGGUUCAAUAGUGAAAGACGGUUUUGCUGUCAAUUAUAGAUGGAUCCGCGCCGCAUUAGCUAGUUGGUAAGGUAACGGCUUACCAAGGCGACGAUGCGUAGCCGACCUGAGGGGGUGAUCGGCCACACUGGAACUGAGACACGGUCCAGACUCCUACGGGAGGCAGCAGUAGGGAAUCUUCCGCAAUGGGCGAAAGCCUGACGGAGCAACGCCGCGUGAGUGAUGAAGGUCUUCGGAUCGUAAAACUCUGUUAUUAGGGAAGAACAAAUGUGUAAGUAACUAUGCACGUCUUGACGGUACCUAAUCAGAAAGCCACGGCUAACUACGUG